AUUGAACGCUGGCGGCAGGCCUAACACAUGCAAGUCGAGCGAACGGCGGACGGGUGAGUACUGUAUGGGGACUGCCCGAUAGAGGGGGAUAACUAAUGGAAAAGUUCGCUAAUAACGCAUACUAUCGGAUAACCCAUAUGGGAUUAGCUAGUAGGUGAGGUAAUGGCGCACCUAGGCGACGAUCCCUAGAUGGUCUGAGUGGAUGAUCAGCCACCCUGGGACUGAGACACGGCCCAGACUCCUACGGAGGCAGCAGUGUGGAAUAUUGCACAAUGGGCGCAAGCCUGAUGCAGCCAUGCCGCGUGUAUGAAGAAGGCCCUAGGGUUGUAAAGUACUUUCAGUCGGGAGGCGUUACCGACAGAAGAAGCACCGGCUAACUCCGUGCCAGCCGCCGCGGUAAUAC
rnacentral:rRNA from 1 species